AAGACGGACCGUACGACCGAGUCGGUCUUGGUCACGUACGGUCCGGGUCGGUCUUUCCUGUGCACCCGUCGUAGGUCUUCGGACCUAUGUUCAUCACCUCGGUGUUCGAACGUCCAUGGAGUGUGACCGUCCGACCGUCGUGUCGGGCGAGAACAGAUAACUUUCAGCAACGGAUCUCUUGGCUCUCGCAUCGAUGAAGGACGCAGCGAAUCGCGAUAAGUAAUGUGAAUUGCAGAUCUUCCGUGAAUCAUCGAAUCUUUGAACGCACCUUGCGCUCCUCGGUAUUCCGAGGAGCAUGCCUGUCUGAGUGUCUGGAUACUCUCGGUUCCGAGAUCUUUCGGGGUAUCGGAACCGGAACUUGGGAGCUUGCGGGCGUCAUCCUCGGUCGAGGUGACGUCGGCUCUCCUGAAAUGCAUUAGCGGGAGAGCAACGGGUACCCGAAGUCCCAGCGAAACGGAGUGCAACCCUUUUCCCUCGGCGUCGUAAGGAUCGUCGUGGGCAGCUCGGGGAAGCACAGAGUGGGGUUUCGGGCAAUGGCGUGUCUCACGCUGCUAGCACGAUCGGGCGAGCCUCGCGGGUCGUCGGGCACAUUUUCAGGACUCGGCCUCAGAUCAGGCAGGGCUACCCGCUGAACUUAAGCAUAUC
rnacentral:rRNA from 1 species